rnacentral:rRNA from 1 species
GGAUGCGAUCAUACCAGCACUAACGCACCGGAUCCCAUCAGAACUCCGAAGUUAAGCGUGCUUGGGCGAGAGUGGUACUAGGAUGGGUGACCCCCUGGGAAGUCCUCGUGUUGCAUCCC